rnacentral:piRNA from 1 species
UGUAUUUAUUCCUUCUGUAUGUGUUUGGU